UGCAAAUUACAGAGUAGGUAUCAAGCCCAGGAAAAUGAGUCAGACUCUUUGACAAACUCACAAAAACAGCUCAAGAAAUUUCAUGCGGCAGCAAU